rnacentral:rRNA from 1 species
GACGAACGCUGGCGGCGUGCUUAACACAUGCAAGUCGAACGGAAAGGCCCUGCUUGCAGGGUACUCGAGUGGCGAACGGGUGAGUAACACGUGGGUGCUCUGCCCUGCACUUCGGGAUAAGCCUGGGAAACUGGGUCUAAUACCGGAUAGGAGCCAUUUUUAGUGUGAUGGUUGGAAAGUUUUUUCGGUGUAGGAUGAGCUCGCGGCCUAUCAGCUUGUUGGUGGGGUAAUGGCCUACCAAGGCGGCGACGGGUAGCCGGCCUGAGAGGGUGGACGGCCACAUUGGGACUGAGAUACGGCCCAGACGCCUACGGGAGGCAGCAGUGGGGAAUAUUGCACAAUGGGCGCAAGCCUGAUGCAGCGACGCCGCGUGGGGGAUGACGGCCUUCGGGUUGUAAACUCCUUUCGCUAGGGACGAAGCUUUUUGUGACGGUACCUAGAUAAGAAGCACCGGCUAACUACGUG